rnacentral:rRNA from 1 species
UGAAGGAAGAAGCUUGCUUUUUCUGGAUUAGUGGCGAACGGGUGAGUAACACGUGAGCAAUCUGCCCUUGACUCUGGGAUAAGCGUUGGAAACGACGUCUAAUACCGGAUACGACCCUCGGAGGCAUCUCCUGGGGGUGGAAAGAAUUUUGGUCAAGGAUGAGCUCGCGGCCUAUCAGCUAGUUGGUGAGGUAAUGGCUCACCAAGGCGACGACGGGUAGCCGGCCUGAGAGGGUGACCGGCCACACUGGGACUGAGACACGGCCCAGACUCCUACGGGAGGCAGCAGUGGGGAAUAUUGCACAAUGGGCGAAAGUCUGAUGCAGCAACGCCGCGUGAGGGAUGACGGCCUUCGGGUUGUAAACCUCUUUUAGUAGGGAAGAAGCGAAAGUGACGGUACCUGCAGAAAAAGCACCGGCUAACUACGUGCCAGCAGCCGCGGUAAUACGUAGGGUGCAAGCGUUGUCCGGAAUUAUUGGGCGUAAAGAGCUCGUAGGCGGUUUGUCGCGUCUGCUGUGAAAUCUGGGGGCUCAACCCCCAGCCUGCAGUGGGUACGGGCAGACUAGAGUGCGGUAGGGGAGAUUGGAAUUCCUGGUGUAGCGGUGGAAUGCGCAGAUAUCAGGAGGAACACCGAUGGCGAAGGCAGAUCUCUGGGCCGUAACUGACGCUGAGGAGCGAAAGCAUGGGGAGCGAACAGGAUUAGAUACCCUGGUAGUCCAUGCCGUAAACGUUGGGAACUAGAUGUGGGGACCAUUCCACGGUCUCCGUGUCGCAGCUAACGCAUUAAG